UACGUAGGUGGCAAGCGUUGUCCGGAAUGAUUGGGCGUAAAGCGUCUGUAGGUGGCUUUUUAAGUCCGCCGUCAAAUCCCAGGGCUCAACUCUGGACAGGCGGUGGAAACUACCAAGCUCGAGUACGGUAGGGGCAGGGGGAAUUUCCGGUGGAGCGGUGAAAUGCGUAGAGAUCGGAAAGAACACCAACGGCGAAAGCACUCUGCUGGGCCGACACUGACACUGAGAGACGAAAGCCAGGGGAGCGAAUGGG
rnacentral:rRNA from 1 species